rnacentral:lncRNA from 1 species
ACUCAAUGUAGGGCGCCACUAAAGAUAAUACAGGUACAAGUAAGUUUAUCCUUCGUCAAUGUACGUGGUCUGUAUCUUUAUUAUAUCAUAUGUCAUAUAUCUUGUCUUUUUUACAAGAUUAAUCUUUACAUCCUAGAGUGGAUCUUGAGACAAGAACAGUGUAACAACUUAUGUGAAUACUACAUUUGCGAGUAUAUUAUGGCAGAAACAAAUAGAAUUCCUAAAGAAUACCUCAUAGUAUGUAACACAUGUCUCUUUUCAUUUUCUCUCGAAUUAUUAUUGAUAAUCUUGAUAUAACUACUACGUUCUUUUAAUUCAAAUUGAAGACUGAAUGGUUGAAGCAAAAACUCAUGCAACAUGAACAACUCCAAGCAAUACAAGAGGCAAUAGCAGGAUUUCUUUGGGAACAAGUCAUAAAUCCAAGCGGCAAGUUCCACUAUAAUCCUAACGAGACGACGAUUCCAAACAAUGAUGAUCAUUUGUAUGCCUGUAGAUCUUUGGAUGAUGAAGUACAACUUGUAAUAGGUUUGGAGUACUAACUUUGGAGUAGAACUUGUGCAGUAGUAGAUUUGGAGAACAACGUCUAUAUAUCUAUGUGCAUAUAUUUGUAUAUAUGUAAUAAUAGAAUUCAAUUAUAUAUGCAUAAAAUAAGCUUAUUGUCAUAUGCACAAUAUAUAUAUAUAGGGUAAAUUUUUCCUACUCCCUAGGAGUAGUUACUCCCUUCUCUUAAUCACUAUAUAUAUAUAUAUAUGUAUAUAUAUAUAUAAUAGCAGCAAAGAAUACAUAUUGAAAAACCUAUUAAAUGAAUAAACAAAACUAAAAACAGAACUGAAAAGAAAAGAAAAAGAAAAAACCAAGGGACCCUUUAAUCGCGGCUGGUAUUACCGCUUGAAGGGUCGAGAUGGCGGACUAGAGGGGGGUGAAUAGUCCUUUCUAAAACUUAUCGCGUCGGCUAACCGAAACAAAUGCGGAAUUGAAACUAUCGGUCUAGCCAAGACUACACCCAUCUAUCUAAGUUCACUAGCACCUUGUAAAAGAUCCUAAACAAGCAAACAAGGUGAUACCUUAGCAAGAGCUCACCUAAUCAAUUCUAGGAGCAAGGUCACACAAACCUAUGCAUCUAGUACUUUACAAACCGAGGGAGCUCCUACACAAACUAGUGAGGCAAGGCGCACAAAGCCUAAGCUCACUAGCAAGCUCAAUAACAAGGCAACUAAUGCCAAAUUAGAGAGCGCAACUUACUUAGCUACACAAACUAAGCAAUGUGACUAACAAGGUUACACAAACCAAAUUAGUCACGCAAGGGGAACUACUUCUAGCCACACAAGCAAGAAGGUAACUAGCAAGCUACACAAGCUAACUAAUUACAAGAGCAACUACACAAGCACAAAUAUAUGAAUAUAAAUACAAGCUUGUGUUAGGGACUUGCAAACCAACAGGAAGAACAAAGUUGACACGAUGAUUUUCUCCCGAGGUUCACUUGGUUGCCACCAAGCUACGUCCCCGUUGAGACAAGCUCCAAGGUUGCCGCCGGUCCUCUUGCUAGUGGUGAACCGCAAGUCACACUCUCCCACGUGGAGUGCUUACCACAAGCUCUAGCACUUGACCCGGCCGGACCACUUGUCGCUCUUCACGUCUCGCUCAACUAUAGUUGCUCUUCGCGAUCUCCGCGGGGUGAGCACCGUACCCCUCACAAUCUCUUCUCCGGAGCACCGCACAAUCUCCUUGCGUGCUUCGACGGAGUCACAAGCCACCAAGCCGUCUAGGAGGUGGCAACCUCCAAGAGUAACAAGCACCACCGGCUUGCAACACGAACACCUAGUGCCACUCGAUGCAAUCUCUCAAUGCAACGCAUUAGAAUCACUCACUCGCUAUUGAUUCGCACUCUUGCAAGCACAAGUGAGUUAGAGGCUUUCCUAGCACUCCCCAAGCAUGGACACUAAGUCCCAAGGGUGCUCAGCACCGGCCAAAGCCGGCCACCACUUCUAUUUAUAGCCCCAAGGGCUAAACUAGCCGUUGCACCUUCACUGGGCAAAACACGUGGGCACCGGACGCUCACAGGGAGCCACCGGACGCUCAACCCCAGCGUCCGGUGCUCAGGUGUUACCCACGUGUCACUAGCCAUUUGAAAACGACCGUUGCCGCCAACGGCUACCAUGCGCUUGCGCCUGACACAGCACCACCGGACGCUCUGCAAGUCCACACCGGACGGUCCGGUGCUCACCGGACUCGUGCGCAGAGAGCUCCGCAAAGUCGCACGGUCACCGGACGCACCCUGAGCGUCUGGUGCUCACCAGACUCAUACGCAGAGAGCAACGCAAACUUGCAGCAGCACCGGACUCUCAGCGUCCUGUGACACCGGACUGUCCUGUGCGCACCGGACUCUCAGCGUCCUGUGCCACCGGACUCGUCCUGUGCGCACCGGACUCUCAGCGUCCUGUGCCUGCAGUUCAACUUGUUAGGUUGCUAACUUCUAGCUCCGAACUCCAAAUUCGAUGAUCUUGGACAUUUUGGAAAGCUUACUUAGAGUACUAUCCAAUAUAUAUGAAUACUCAAUCCAAAUCAAAAUGGAUCAAAGCAGUAUUCCAAUCUAAAAGCCAUCCUAAUGUCCGGAGAACACCGAAAGACUUCUCUCUCUUCUCCAAGUUGAACAAAAUCAACUUCAACACCUUCUCCUUUGCAAAUGUGCCAACACCACCAAGUGUACACCAUCAUGUGCAAGUGUGUUAGCAUUUUCACAAAUAUUUUCCCAAAGGAGUUAGCCUCUCAACUUGCCACGCCACUCGAUCCUAACACGUAUGCAAAGUUAGAUCGCUCAAGUGGCACUAGAUGACCGAUAUGCAAACAAGUUUGCCCCUCUUGAUAGUACGGCCAUCUAUCCUAAAUCCGGUCAUAAACUUCUCUACACACCUAUGACCGGUGAAAUGGAAAAGCCCUAGGUUAUAUCUUUGCCUUGCGCUUUCCAUUCCAUCUCCUCCAAUGUUGAUGCAACACAUGCACCAACCAAUCACCAAAUGAUAUGAUCCACUUCAUAUCAUCACGCGACCGUAUUGGUUCAUUGAUCUUGACCUCACUUGCUCUUCACCGUUGCCUCGGUCCAUCGGCGCCAAGUCUUGCUCAAGCUUCACCGUCACACGCGGUCCCUAGCUUCAAAGCCUCCGACUUGCCCUUCACUCUUGCAACCGGUCCAUCAAGCCAAGCCUCAUCUUGAUCUUCUCCACCUUGGUCACAUGACUCCAUGUCAUGUCUCAUAUGCAAUGAGCUCCUCCAUCAUCACAUCAUCACCUGUGGACUAAUCUCUUGUGUAUCUCACAUAAACACUAUUAGUCCACCUAAGUUGUCACUCAAUUACCAAAACCAAACAAGGACCUUUCAAUCUCCCCCUUUUUGGUAAUUGAUGACAACUCUACAAAGAUAUGGAAAUUAAGCUUUUUCAAGCUAGCACUUCACACAAGUGUAAAUUGCUAACUUGAUUUAGAUUUUAUGCUACUUAUCCAACAUUUAAGCUCUAUGUCAAGAUUUUGAUAAGCACCAUAAAACCCUGCUAAGUGCUAAGGUGUAUAGGAUAAACCUUUGUAGCUCGAUACCAAGUUCGAUAGCAUUUGAAGCAUUCAAUGUACACCAUCCUUAGCACCAUGAGUAGCUAGACAACAAAAACACUAGAAACCCCGUGAGAUCAACAAUAUAAGCAAGGGUCUAGUUUUUACUUGAAAAGCACAAGUCUAGCUACCAACCUAUGCAUGCUAGUUAUCAUAUCAUCAAUCAAGUUCUAUAACUAGCAUACACCACACAAGCAUGCAUAUUGAAUUUAAAAACUUAUGCAAUGCAAGCAAGCACAUGAAUAUGCACAUAUCAAAUGCAAACAAUCAAUGUUCAUCAGCUUGCUCCCCCUACUUGUGUGCUUCUUAUGUUCAAGACUUUUGAUCCAACUCUUUUCCUUUAAUGUCGCUCCCUUGUCCAUGUCCAUCUUUGAUCUUUCCCUCUUGAAACAUAUCUUUUGUUGUCCAACUUAUCCCAUGAUCAUAUCUUUGUUCCAACUUCUCCCCCUUUGUCAUCAAUUUCCAUAAAAGGUGUGAUACCAAUUAAAUCAAUUGAUACCAAUUGAAAAAGUGUGAAUCUCAUUGUGACAAAGGAUUGCAUUGGGAUAGAUGGUUGAGGCUUGAAUCUUGUAUUUUUUGAUGGACAUCACCAUAUGUGUUGGAAUGACAUUACUUGAAUUGCUCUUGAGAUACCACAUAGGAUCUUUGACCUUGAUACCAUUUGGUGGGGCACUCCCCCUAUGUCAUAGCAUGGGUCAUUCACUUGUCAAUCUUGUUGGUGAGGGAACUUUUCUUUGCUUGAUGAUCACUUAAAGUUGAAGAUUACUUGUGGAACCACCUUCUUGUAUGAUAGAUACCAUAUGUAUAAAUGUGAUAUUUGGAAUAUCUUGUCCGAUAUCAUAUGGGAUUCUUCUACCAAUUAAGGUCUUCUAGUAUGGAACCACUUGUUUGCUAUCUUGAACAUUUGCUAUCAUCAUGAGUACCAUUUGUUGGAUACCAAUUGAAGAAACUUUUAAGUCUAGAUAUCCACUUGCAUUGUUGUCUUGUUCUUGUACUCUAAUCACUAUGAGCUUCUGAUUGUUGACUUGAACUAAGUUGAUUUGCUAAAGCUUCCAAGUCCAGUUUGAACCAAUGACAAGCUUUUUCAAACCUCACAUUAAGGGUUAUCUUGCCAAUGUUGUACUUUUCACUUGUUAACAAUCCAAACUAGAUCAAAUACUUGGGUUCACUAGCUCAUGAAUAAACUCAUAUACAUACCACUAGAUCAAUUAAUCAUUCAAGCAAUAGUGGUAGAUUAUGAAUUUAAAACUUUUCAUUUGUCAUGCAUGAUCCUAUUAAGCAUGUACUAUAUGCACUAACCGCAUACUAGUAAGGGAUGAAAUGAUCAUGCACAUUACAAUGAUACCUUUGCUAUCUUGGAGUAGAGGAUAGUCAAUAAGAUUCCAAUUUAGCUCCAAAUAGCAAUGUGAAGUCCAACUAUAAGCUUGGUGAAGACCAAUUAUAAAUGCCAAUUGAUAGAUCAAAUCUUCACCCAUGUGAAAUGAGAACCACUUUACGAUCAAGUGCACUAUCUUGUUGUGGUUGGCUUGCUUUUUCUUUUGACCAUUGCUUGCAUGAGAGAACUACUAAGAACAUCACUUGAACAUCAUGAGUAGCUCUCUUUUGGGUGUUGCUUGCUCUCUUGAUCAAUCCUUUUGAUUGCUUCAACUAAGCAUCUCAAAUGUCCUUUAGAUCACCACUUCCAUGUUAGCCUUCCAAGCACCACACUUGGUUUACCCACUCCUCGGGCGGCACGCCCCUCACAUAGGGAGAAGUGACCUCUCUCUAAAGAACCAUUCUUGACACUCACUUGAAUUGCCUUCGAUUGAUUGAUUCAAGUGAUGGACUUAAUAUGAUGAGUAACCAUGAAUCCUUCUUUAAGUCCUCUUCUUUCUACUUGUUUAAGUCCUUUUCUUUCUACCAAAUGAUCUACAAUAGUUACUAGAACUUAAACUUCAACUUCAUCUUGAGUUUGAUCUUGAUCUUCAAUUUGAGUACUAAAUGUGUACACCAAGUACAUUCCACAAUCAAAUGCCUUGUACUCAGUACUUGUCAUGCUUCUAGAUCGAUUCAAAACCAAACUUAGGUGCCUCAAAUACUUAUAAUCAUAAUUCCAACUUGAGGACCUUUCAAUUGAAGUGACUCUAGAUCAAUCCAAUAAUUGUCACUUUUCUGGCAGACUCUGUACCCUUUAAAGAAAUAUCCAUAUCUCAAAAUGUACAGAUCCAAAUACCACGAAAUUUGGUGGAUAUGUGAUUCACUGAGUUAUCUAGCAGCUGUAAAAAUUUAAGCUUCAUUUGAGUUAUAUAUUGCUACCAGAUUUCAAUUCUUCCACCACUGCUACAUGCUGAAAACUGCUGCACUAUAGCUGAUAAGAUCUACUCCAAAACCGAAGUAUCCCUUAUCCAAUUCUCAUGAAAUUUGUACAAUCUUCUAUGAUAAGUGUACAGCAUGCAUACCAAAUUUCAAGCCAUUCCAAUAAGAUUUGAUCACUCAAAAGCAGACUUGAUCUCAGCUAGCUCAGUUUUUCAAAAAAAAAGAACAGAUUUCAAGCAAUUGAGCUAUGCUUCUUCAAAUUGAAUCAAAAUUGAAAUCAACUUGAUUGAAUACUUUCACAAGACAUAUAUCCAUUCAAUCCACUUACUAAAUGUUAUCUCACGAACUUAUUCAACUCAAAUCAAUCCAAACUUGAUUACUAAACAUUUUAUCCAUUCAAUCAUCUUAUAGCAAGCAACAUUGCAUAUAUCCAAUUCAAUCAACUCAUAUGCACCCAAAUGAGUGUGAUCAACAAAGAUAUACCUUGGUUAGCUUAUGAUCAUCUAAUUUGCAAGCUUCAACUCAUGUAUUUGCAAGCCAUUAAAUAAUUCAAUAAAUCACCACAACUUGAAUAUGACACUUGUAUGUUGUAGCACACUUGGACUUCACUAUCUUGUCAUGGCAUUGGGAUGAGAUAAGCACUAAGCUUCAAUACUUGACUCAAUCAUAUGAUGAAUAAUAUAAAUCAAUUGAAUCAAGCCUCCAAUGCCAAUGGUACCUACAAACAAUCAUCCACUUUUUGAUGGUACCCAAACUAGUUUGGGUCCUCUCAAGUUAGGUGCAACAUACUUAGGCAUAGCCUUAGUAUGAGUAGCGGGAUGUUUUGCAAUAGCAACCAUAGAGGUACCAUUACCAUCCUUUCUAAGCAUAGUAUUAUCAUUAAUUGAAAUAGGCUUAGAAUUAUUACCUAGGGGACACGAAUAAGCCAUGUGUCCCCUUUCCCGGCAUAAGUAGCAACUUCUUUUGGAUUGAGCCUUUUCUUCCUUGCUCAUGUGUUGCUUCUCAUUGCCUUGCCUCUUGAGAGUUGCUUGAGCCUUCUUCUCAAGCUUGGUAGGACACCUCGAGGCAAAGUGUCCAUCAUCCUUGCACUCAAAACACAUGAUGUGAGCAUAAGUUUUCUUCUUGUCUUGAUUCUUGCUCAUCAUCUUGGCAUCUUGGAUUUGCAUUGGAUGCCUUGCUUUUCCACCCCUUCUUGUCUUCUUCUUCUUCAUAAUCAAGUCAUCACCAUCAUGGUAGAUCUUGACUUGAGCUUGGGGUGUCUUUUCUUGCUCAACUUGUGGCUUUGGUUGAGGCUUUACUUGUUGCUUCACCAAUUGCUUGGUUGGGCACAUUGAGGUGAGAUGACCCCAAGUGCGACACUUGAAGCACUUGACAUGCUUUAGCCUCUCUUCUUCUUUUAUCUUCUUGAGCUUCUCUUUGUUUGGGCAACUAUUAGCAAGAUGUCCCACUUCAUGGCACCGAUAGCACAUGAAAUGAGAAAGCUUUCUCUUUUCUUGCUUUCUUUUGCCCUUUGUCAUCUUCUCCUUGAAGCCAAGGCCACACUUGUCACCAUAAAUUCUUUGAGUCUUCAAUAUAUGCUCAAAGGUGACUUUUGAGUAGUAGCACCUCUCUAGCUUGUUGCUCAAAUUCUUCACUUCAUUUUUGAGCUCAUUGUUCUCCUUCAAAAUGUUAGUCUCACAGGACAUAGAAGUAGAACAAGCAUCUAAAUGUGAAGAACAUGGCACAGAUAAUAAAUCAUCACAAGAGGUGGAUACAUGCUUCUUUCCUACAUCACAAGGGUUAGUAAUAUCACAUGAUUGAUCAUUUGACCCAAAUGAUGAGCUCUCACUAGUUUUAAUUUCUUUAUUAGAAAUCUUCUUAGUGAGAAAAGCAUGAUCUUUUACUAAGUUAUCAUGAGUAACACAAAGUUCCUCAUGAACCAAUUUUAGCUCCUCAUGUGAACAAGUAGUAACAUAAAGUAGAUGCUUUUGUUGUUCACAUGUGGUCUUUAGAAAUGAGUUUUCAUUUUUCAAUUUACUUGUUUUAGCCAUCUCAUUUCUUAAAGCCUUUGUGAGUCUACAUACAAGCUCAAAAUUUGGAUCAUCACAAUCAACAAUCACACCUCCAAUAGAUACCUUGCCGUCACCGUGAGACAUGGAGGAAUGUGAUGAAGUGGAUGAGCUUGUAGAAGCAUCACUCUCAUAGCCAUCAUCUUCAUCCUCACUUGACCAUGAGGUGGAGCAAUCCUCCACAACCACCAUGUUGUGGUCAUGCUCAACAUCCUCACGUGCAUCCACCUUUGGCACAUCAUCUUCUUUGGUGAUUGCCCCAUAUUUCUCAUUGAGAUAACUCCAAAUCUCAUGGGCGGACUUCAUAUCCAUAAUCUCACCAAAUAUGUUAUCUUUCUUGGAUGAAUAGAAGAUGUUAGUAGCUUGGUAGUCGAGAUGUAGACAUUUCUCUUGUGCUUGAGUUAGAUUCUCUUCAUCCAACACAUGAGAAAGGCCUACAUCUACCAUCCACCACAUUUGAGGAGAAAUAAACUUAAAAUUGCAUGUUAUCCAAUUUCUCCACUGUGCAAAGUGUGUGCCAUCAAAAAUGUGUGGACACUCAACAUCUAGACCAUAAGCCGCCAUCCUCUCGGGUCGGUGAAGACCACAAAUGAGAGACCUAGCUCUGAUACCACUUGAAGGGUCGAGAUGGCGGACUAGAGGGGGGGUGAAUAGUCCUUUCUAAAACUUAUCGCGUCGGCUAACCGAAACAAAUGCGGAAUUGAAACUAUCGGUCUAGCCAAGACUACACCCCUCUAUCUAAGUUCUCUAGCACCUUGUAAAAGAUCCUAAACAAGCAAACAAGGUGAUACCUUAGCAAGAGCUCACCUAAUCAAUUCUAGGAGCAAGGUCACACAAACCUAUGCAUCUAGUACUUUACAAACC